UACGUAGGGUGCGAGCGUUAAUCGGAAUUACUGGGCGUAAAGCGUGCGCAGGCGGCUCUUCAAGUCAGAUGUGAAAGCCCCGGGCUUAACCUGGGAAUGGCGUUUGAAACUGGAGAGCUGGAGUGUGGCAGAGGGAGGUGGAAUUCCACGUGUAGCAGUGAAAUGCGUAGAGAUGUGGAGGAACACCGAUGGCGAAGGCAGCCUCCUGGGCCAACACUGACGCUCAUGCACGAAAGCGUGGGGAGCAAACAGG
rnacentral:rRNA from 1 species